UUAUUUUAGUAGGCGGUUCACCCAGGGCGAGGCUCAGCCAUUGCAUGCCGGCUGUGCUGACCCCUGCAAAUUCCCCAAAUGUGGGAUUCUUGACUGCAUUAUUUCUCCCGAUAGCCAAGGUGCCCCUGA
ensembl:snRNA U1 U1 spliceosomal RNA